rnacentral:lncRNA from 1 species
UUCUUCUAGCCAUACCCUGAAAUAUGUGCUCAAAAAACAGGUACUGAUUGAAUUACUGAAUUGUAUAAAAUUUGUAGUCACUUACCUGCAGAGAGGCAGAAAGUUAAUCCCCAUAUCUUUUUAGAGUGGAAUUUGGUUUGGAACACUUAUGUAAUGCUCUGCUGAAUGAAAGGAAGGAGGAGGGGAGUUAUUAUCUGACUUCCUUUCAGGAAGGUCUGAAAUCACUUUAUUACUUUUUUUUUUUAUCAAACAUGUAUAAAGGCUCUGCUUAAGAAUAAACCAUUCCCUUGCCUUAUUCCUCUGACUGAAAAUACUUAUUGACUUUUCUCUUUCCUUCCUUUCUUUCUAAGUUUGUCCUAAUGGGAGUGAAAUCACAAGGAGCUUCUGGACUCUGCCCAGCAUUUGAAGGAGGCUAUUGUUCUGGCCCUGAGUGUGCCUAAACCAUUUUUAAAGAUAAACUACUAUGAUGUCAAAAGCUAAACUACCAUAUCAUGGAAUUCUGGAUUCCAAUAUUGCAGCUUGACUACUACAGAUUUCCUUUGUCUUCUACUCAGUUUCCAUCCCUACCCCUCAAAGAGGGAAAGUGCUUUAAAAGAUUAAACAUCUUAGGUAGAAAUUCACAAAUUCUUCAAACAACAUUUCUGUUGUUGUAGAUGAUGUGCUCUUGGUUCUACUCAUUUCACUUCAUAAUUUCAGAAUUCUUCAAGGGUAGAGCCUGGCAGAUGACUCAGUGGAUUGAGGACCUGGAGAUGGGAAGUCCUGCAUUCAAAUUUGACCUCAGACACUUUCUAGCUGUGUGACCCUGGGAAAGCCACUUAACUCCCAUUGCCCAGCCCUUACCAUUUUUCUGCCUUGGAACUGAUGCUUAGUACCAAUUCUAAAACAGAAGGUAAGAGUUUAAAAAAAUAUAUUUUUUUCAAAGCUUAGAUCACAUAUCAAUUCCUACUAAAGACUUUCCUUAUCUACUUAGCUGUGCGUGUUCUUUCUUUCUCCUCAUAUUUUUGUAUAUUGCUUAUCUGAGUACAUGGUGCAUCCCUCGGUAGAAGUGAAUUUCUUAAGGUCAUAAUUGUUUUGUUCUAUGUUUUGUCUUCAUGUCAUUGACAGAAGAGUGCCUUAUACAGAGUACAUAUUUUUUAAAAUAUUGUCAAAUUAAACUUUAGUAUGUAGCAUUAAUCAUUGAAAAAACUGGAAAGGGAGAUAACCAGAUCAGAAAGGAUUUAAAUCCUGGGCUAAAGUUUGAACUCCAUCUAGCUCAAUGGUGUCAAACUCAAAUAGAAAUGAGGACUACUAAUUCAUACCCAAGGAUCCAUAUGGGUUUCAAAUAGAUUAAAUUCUAAAAUGUUAUGUUUGUGGUUGUUCAGGUAUUUGUUUAAGUCAUGUCGAAUUCUUCAUGACCUCAUUUAGGGUUUUCUUGGUAAAGAUACUCAAGUGAUUUAACUUUCCUUUUCCAGCUCAUUUUACAGAUGAGGAAACUGAGGCAAGUAGGGUUAAGUGACUUAUCCAAGGUCACACAGUUAGUCAUAUUGGAGAUCAGAUUUUAACUCGGGGAGAUGAGUCUUCCCAACUUCAGGCCUAGUACUCUAUCCAUUGUAGCACUUAGCCAUCCUAAAAUGUAAUAUUAUCUAAGUUUAUUUUGUUAAACAUUUCUCGAUUACAUUUUAAUCUAGUGCCAAGUGUUGGCGUAGGGACCAACAGACAUGCUACCUCUGACACCAUUUUAAUAACAACACUAUUAUCUAAAUUCUAGAUAAUAGAUAGCUAUAACAUUGUCUCUACAUUCAGUUGUCUACAUUUUUAAUG